rnacentral:lncRNA from 1 species
UUGGAGAUCCCUGUCUAUCUGAAGCCUUCCAAAGCAAUCUUUUAGAUUCUGUGGAGAUGAUGAAGAUUUAGCGAUCUCCAUUAUUAGAAGAAAAUCUAUGAAGUAAUUUGUGUGCAUUGCUGACCAUCACAUGAAACGCCUUCCAAUAACAUGUUUAUGGUUCAGGAAGAAUUCUAUGUAGCUACAAGAAAGGACUUCAAGAAACUGUUGCUUUUGCAUUGAAUUUGUACCUAAGUGGCUCAUGUUUUUAGCUACCUAGAUCUGUGGUACAGAUACUAUAAACAUGCAGCCAUCUUUCUCAUAGGUUUCUAGUCUAUACCAUUCAUUUUCUGCUGGACUCCCAGAAGUAGGAACUGUGAGUAGGAAGGCUGUAGCAGCAUCCUCUCACUUCCGCAGCUGUUCCAAUGCUCCAACUAAAUGCUAAGUUGGUGAAGUAUGAACUGUAGUCUAAUAAACUAGUUACCUAUCAAAGCAUAUGAACUUCUACCAGCUUUCUGAAGAAGCAUGUAAACUUCCACAGGGACAAUUUAAAUUCAUUGUUAUAGCUUAAGUUAAAUUAACCAAUUCUAUUUACAGUAAAGGACUGGGUAAACAGUGCACACAAAGUUUGAGUUGUCUGUAUUUCACUGGUACUAAGGAGGCAAU